GACGAACGCUGGCGGCGUGCUUAACACAUGCAAGUCGAACGGAAAGGCCCUGCUUUUGUGGGGUGCUCGAGUGGCGAACGGGUGAGUAACACGUGAGUAACCUGCCCUUGACUUUGGGAUAACUUCAGGAAACUGGGGCUAAUACCGGAUAGGAGCUCCUGCUGCAUGGUGGGGGUUGGAAAGUUUCGGCGGUUGGGGAUGGACUCGCGGCUUAUCAGCUUGUUGGUGGGGUAGUGGCUUACCAAGGCUUUGACGGGUAGCCGGCCUGAGAGGGUGACCGGCCACAUGGGGACUGAGAUACGGACCAGACUCCUACGGGAGGCAGCAGGGGGGAGUAUUGCACAAUGGGCGGAAGCCUGAUGCAGCAACGCCGCGUGCGGGAUGACGGCCUUCGGGUUGUAAACCGCUUUCGCCUGUGACGAAGCGUGAGUGACGGUAAUGGGUAAAGAAGCACCGGCUAACUACGUG
rnacentral:rRNA from 1 species